UUGACAUGAAAACGGACCGAUUUAAUGGAAUUACAUCAUAUAAUAAUUUAUUUAUGUAAAAAAAAAAUAGCAUCGAAAUAACACCAAAAUUAUAGUUUUACAAAAUUAGGAGUUAAAUUUAUAUUUUUUAGCCAACUUUUCAAAAUAACGAUUUCUUAUUUAAUAAAUCAGGCAAUCAAAACCCUCAUACAGACCUCAUUUAUAACUGACCAAUGAAUAUUAUGCCC
rnacentral:lncRNA from 1 species